ensembl:lncRNA
AUGUACCUGAUUUGUCCAAGGUCCCAAGGAGUUCAUCCUGGAGUCAGCACUGGUGAUGCGUUCGCUCUUCUGCUUCACUGGGAGGCUGAGACUGAGUUUGCUGGCACUAGACACCAGCACUUCAAAGUUCAUCUCCUGGUCUGGCAAACACAUACACACAAAACUGUAAUAAUAACUAGCCUAGUAUCAAACCUAACCAUAAACUAAGCCUUAUUUUAACCCUAAACCUAACUCUUAACCCUAAACCUAACUCAAAUAGAAAAUGGCAUCACCUGUCACGUGAUGCCAAACCCCUAAGCUGGAAAUCCCCUUUUUCUUCUUCAGGUUUUACUGUCUUUGUGGGAGCAUGUAUGCAUAAACCUGGAUAACACAUACACACCUACUCUAACUCAGCUGUUUUAUGGGUUUCCGGCGUUUGUUCAGUUAAAUUGUAAAAGCCACAGAUGAAGGAGAGGUUUGUAACCCUAAAACUCCAAAAACACUGCCUGCCAGCUCCAGCUCCCUAUCUCAAUCUGUCUCUCUCUCUCUUACCCUUAAGUCCAUUAAAGUAGAGUGUGUUUGUCUAAGCAAGAAAGGCAGUGUUUCCAGCUCCAGCGAGCAGACCUGAUCCCCAGCAGCUGUUGCUUUAUUAAAGUGGAUCAGAGUUUUCCCUAGACACAGCCCGCAUCCCAAAUUGCCCCCUAUUCCCUAAAUAGAGAACUACUUUUAACCACAGAGUUACAGGCCCUGGUCAAAAGUAGAGCACUAUAUAUGGGGUAGUGUUUCAUUUGAGACGACCCCAGAGAGAGACACAGCGCCUGUUCACAUUCUGCCCCAGCCACUAACUAAACCCAUUACAGCAGUACACAACUCACACGUCUACCUGGAUGGUCCUGUUUCCACCUCACUAAGCCUUUCCCUGAAACAGGUUCCCCUGAAACACCUUACACCCUGACUUCGGAUCUGCGACCACCCCGAAACCACUGUCACUCUGCGUCGUGUUACUGUGGCUAAGAGAUGCUUAAAAGAGCUUGUCUGCAGUGGGGCAGUCUGGGUGUGUGAGAGUGGGGGUGACAGAGGGGUGUCUCCGUGCUGCUGUGUCCCCUCCACGGCUACUGUUCCAGAGGGUUCUAUCCCCGUUACAGGAAACGGUUAUUUCAAGGUGAGUCACGUUACAUCUUCAAUCAACUUCCUCUUACUUGAGUUACACCUCUUAAGUCAUAACGUUGUCCUGUAGCCAUGCACCUUCAUUGGAUUUCUAACCGAAUCCUCAAAUAUGGAGUUGGAUCUCUUGUGAUAUUUUGUGUGCGUGUGCAUGUAUGUGUCUGUUAGCCGGUCUGUUAUUUAUAGCGCAUGGCUAAUGUUGUUGGCUCCAUCCCUUAUCAAAGCUUACCACCAAUUUGGAUGGAAUUUAGAAAGCAAGAGCUAGAACUAAACAGUCCAAAACUGGGCUAAGAAUAAGUGACCUUAAACAUCAACCGCCCACACAGAGUAAGCCUGCUCAUAUCACAAGAAAACAGGGUGAAGCAAAAACACACACACUGCCAUCGCACUUCUCUCUAAAAGCAUUCCUGGAAGAAGGCGCAUCCGCGUGUUUGUGUGCGCGUGUGUGUGUGUCUGUGCGUACGUUUGUGUGAGGUGUCUGUGUGGAGAAAGAUGUCACAGAGUAGCUAUAUAGUGAAAACUAGCCUCAUGUUGAUAUGUCCUAAAGUUGUCUUUUAAAUUAGGAAAUUAAAGCUGCUUCUUUGACAGUGCCGUGCAUUAUAGAUAGAGAAGACCUGAGGGUCACCUAUGAGACCUGAGGCAGCUGAUUCUGAUUCUCAGGCAGCUGAUUCUGGAUCAUCUGGAGUUGAGAUGGGAGCCUUAUUGAGUUACCUGUCAGCAGUGCAGAGCAGCAGGCAUGUUGAGAAGUUAACAGAGCAUGCACAAGCUUCUCACAAUACACAGUGGAUAUGAAUGACCUGAUCCUAACCACGUUACAUCCUGUAGACGGUGUACACAUUUGGGCUGCCGGAGGACUUUCUGGACCCUCCGGACAACCACGGCCUGGCUGGUGAGAACAGGCACAGGACAAUAUACACCUGUUUCUGUCAACUACUGUUGUUUCUCUGCCCUGAAAAACAUGCCAGGCCGGGCUUUCACAAACGCAGUUUGAGGAGACCAUCGAGGAGAGAGAAAGGCUAACUCACGGGCAAGUGGAGCAGCUGGAGAAAGAACAAAGCAGCCGAUGACCCAGAGAGUCAUCUUAACACAAAAACUUGUUUAUUGCUCCAAUUAUUAUGCACUGCUGAAACACGUCCUUUUAAGGCCUUGGGACCCAACCUAUGUGGACAGUUAAUUACUUGAUCUUUGAGCCUCCAUUCAUGUAAGCCCAGUAGUUGACUCUGUCAGCAGUGGCUCAGUGAUUUGUGUUUUUUUGUUUGUACAAAAGAGCUAUAAUGUUUAAUUGGCAGGAGUUAAACCCCGACAAUUUUUGUUCAUUUGUUCAGGUGAAGAACACUUGUUCGCCACAGUGUUGUUGGUGCCUUAUUUAAAACAAAGAAACUAAAUCCUAUAUAAAGCAAAAAGACAAAGAUUCUCAAUCUUUGUUUUUGGCAGGUUUUUAUUUUCCACUCGUCCCGUUGUUUUUGGUUUAGUACAGUUGUGUAUUUCCCCCCAACCAUUUACAAUGAAUAAAAUACCAAAACAGAGCCCUGUGAGACAGUUUGUGACUGUGGCAGGGUUGGAUUUGUUAUUGUCAAAUAACAAAUUAAUGUCUGUCAGUAAGAUCCCUGGAACAGAGAGUCCAAAUAAGUUAUUUAAUUAACAUGUCUGAUGAUUAUUUCUUAAUUCACUUUGUCAAAUUAUGUUCUGCCACCCACAAGUAAUUUG